CGAAAGCCUGACGGAGCAAGACCGCGUGGGGGAGGAAUGCCUUAGGGUUGUAAACCCCUUUUAUCUGGGAAGAACAAAAUGACGGUACCAGAUGAAUAAGCCUCGGCUAACUCCGUGCCAGCAGCCGCGGUAAUACGGAGGAGGCAAGCGUUAUCCGGAAUUAUUGGGCGUAAAGAGUCCGUAGGUGGUUCAUCAAGUCUGCUGUUAAAGCGUGCAGCUCAACUGCAUAUAGGCAGUGGAAACUGUUGAACUAGAGUAUGGUAGGGGUAGGGGGAAUUCCCGGUGUAGCGGUGAAAUGCGUAGAGAUUGGGAAGAACACCGGUGGCGAAAGCGCCCUACUGGGCCAUAACUGACACUGAGGGACGAAAGCUAGGGUAGCG
rnacentral:rRNA from 1 species